ACCGCUAGACCAUUGCAGAGAAAUGAGAUAAUUGCUUACAUUAUCAAUAUUUCUUGAAAAAACAUUAUCGUGGGCCUGGCAUGAUCAUUCGAUACGUAUUGUUUAAUACCAUGGGAAAAAUUGUUAUCCCUAAACCCGAGAAUAAUUGUCUUUACAGUGCCAUCUACACUCAAAGAUAAGUCAGGAUUUGACACAUCUCCUCUGCAUGAAUACAAAUAGCAGAUGGGCCCGACCUUACUAAAUCUGUUGUAUUUUGAAGUGUGUUAUUACAGCUGCAGGCUGUGAAAACUGGUUGAGUACGAGAAUAUGUUUCAAUGAGAAUAAUGAAUUCUUCUCGGACUACCAAACGUGUAAAGUGGUUUAAUGGUAUCCCGAGAAGAAUUCUUUAUACUUGGUAGCCGUGAAAGCUUCAGAUCAUAUGUGUUUGAAUGAGAAUUGACAUUUAAAAUUUUUUAAGAAUGGGUUUUAACAUAAGGGAUAUUUUAUCAGUCAUUCUUGAGAAUGCGAAUGUACGUUCUGAUGACAGAAUCAGAACUUCUUUAUAAUAAUUUUAAUGGGACCCACAGAUAACUGUCCUUUUUGUUGAAAAAUAACAUUCAACCGAUCGAAUACCAGUAGGUUUCCAUUUUAUCAUCUAGAAAAGGAACUAUUAAAAAUCUUCUGUAAAUCAAAUCGUAUGGCCGGGAAUCCCUUAACAGGAGUACCAUGGCAACGGUACAACACGCAAAAGAAUUAUUAUCCCACAAGAUAAAAAACUGCUUAGCAACGUUACCUUGGCAACUGCAAUAACAACAGCACAAACAAACGGACAUUGCUCAUUAUAUUGUGUAGAUUAUCAUCCCAUCCUUUUAACGAUCGUCCGCUGAGUCUUGGGUUCAAUUCUCUGUUUGGAGACCUGUUAACCUGAUUGAGACUCCUCAGUACCUCCAGAUUUUGUAGAUGUCUGGCAGCGAGCUAGCGACUAGGAUUGCGGUCUAUAAACAUGCAAACGGCUUCUCAUCCGUCGUGAAACGUUUUGAAACAGCUGAUACGAGUGAAGGCCUCUGGCCCCUUUAAGAGAACCACGCGAAGUGAAGUGAAUAAUGUUUCUGAGAUUCUCCGUUUUUAACAAGAAAUGCAGCGCCCGCGGGACGAUCUGUAUGCAACAGGUGCGUGGCGUCUGUUUGGGAGUGAAAGAGACGCCCUGCAGUGUUCGGUCGCGUUCCCAGGUGUAGCAAAUACAAACGCGCAGUUAACACAAUCAUAGUGUUUUCUGUGAUGUUGGCACGAGUGUUGACACCCCACCUCUUCUCCGCCCCCUCCACCACUACCACGUGGCUUUCGUGUUUCGUAUACAGUUUCGUUACUAUGACAACAGCUUCGUUACUCCAAGGAUGUGUCGGUUGCGAGUAAGAGUGAUCUAAGGCACCAUUAAUCGAAUGAGUGGUCGGUGUUAUGGCUUAAUUCGACGUUUAACGAAACUAAGACUUCUUCGCUUUUACGUAUGAAGUUAAGUGCGCUCUAUCCGUUUUCUCGCAUUGGAUUUUAAUGUAAUUGUUUCUUGUGAUUACUUUAAUAAUGUACAGAUUUUUUUUAUAACCUCAAGAUGUGUAUGAUCGCGAUGUUAUAAAUUUAUUCUUCUAAAAGAAUAACAUUAACUGUAGUUAUGUUCAUUAUCUGCCACAUUGCCAGAUUUCAAAUGUUUAUCUUUAAUAGUUCGUUAUUUAUAUCCAUAAAAAGGAAAACCAAUAGUAUGCAGCCAAAACCCCUACAACUUAUUUUCCUUUUAGAUUUUAAUAUUAUCAUGCCAUCCAUGCUUAGGUUUUACAAGUGGUCUAAUUCUUUAAAAUUUCUGACUAAAAUUUUGAAACCGUUUAUUAUUUAACGCAUGUGUUCUGCGUGUCCCUCUUGUCUUCCUAUUGAUUUGAUCUUUCUAAUAUGCCUUUAGUAGCCGUCACGAAAUUGCGUGCUUCAAGGCCACGGAAGGCCCGCAGUCCUCCUUGCUUUCAGGCAGCAAGCAGUACAUCUGUACGUCAUAAAGGGACAUGGAUAUUGGUCGUCCGCUCUUUCUAUACCUCAGCACCAGACGGAGUUGAGUGAUCCUGGGAGGACCGGACUGGACGUGGUGGCGUAGAAACACCUUCCUGGCAGUGUUGGGAAUCGAAUCCUGAUCGUCCAGCGUCUUUACUGAGUUAUUAAAAGAACUCAGUGAAGCACAAAUAGUCACUCUUAUCAAAUCAAGGCAUUUUCCGCCUUAUAUGGAACCUGUGACGCCUAUCUUGAGCCAUCCGGUGAGGUGAGACCUGACCAAUCCCCAGCUUGAAGACUGUCCCUUAUCAGCUGUCCGUAUUAUCUCAUGUACGUUCUGCAUCUGCGAUCUGCCGUGGUGACAAGAGACCGCCAUAACAUUAACUGAGUUAUCACGGUUUGUCAAAUUAAAUAGGUACCGUCUUUAAAACGUUUGAGUUGAAGCUGGACAUUUAUUACCAGGUACCGAGGUCUAGAAUGAGUGGAGCUUUAAGUCUACAUUUCUCUGUCUUCAUGUCAUGGUGCUUAAGCUCGAGGGUUGCUUUAUCCGUAAUGCGAAGCUAAUAAAAUAAAAGUGGCCUCUUGUGAAAUGGAUUGGAUCUAUUUGUCACGCGGUGGCCGACCUCUACUGCUGUAGUCAGUCUAUAAUAAAAUAUAAAUGGACUCAAAUUAUUACGAGUUUCCCCAAGGGCUUGGAAUAUUACAAAAUGGAAGGGUUCAGAGACAUUUCUUUUACGUGUUAAUUUAUCACUUUUCGUUGGAACGCGAUGUCAUUCUUUUUGUUACGUUGUGUUCUACACUGCUUAGACUUUGCGGAUGUCCUUGUGCGAUUUGAGGUUAUCGUGGCGGUGAAUGUUCCGGUCUUCUGGGACCUUAAGCCCUGAAUAUGUAGACAGUAUGUAUUUCGGAAACGUUGGUAUCUACGUAUAAGCCCAUACGACGUUGCAACUCAGAAGACUAGCUUCGACUGUGUUAGUGAAUUCUAGUAGCUGUUGAAACGAUUUUAACCGUGUUUUAGAGUCUCUUCGGCACGGGUAUGUCGAUUGCCGAUUGUCGAUUUUAUUGGGCAUAUGUGACGUGUACAACCCCUCUGAAAUUUAUU